GACCCGUAAUCCGGGUUGCGGACAGUGUCUGGUGGGUAGUUUGACUGGGGCGGUCUCCUCCUAAAGAGUAACGGAGGAGCACGAAGGUUGGCUAAUCCUGGUCGGACAUCAGGAGGUUAGUGCAAUGGCAUAAGCCAGCUUGACUGCGAGCGUGACGGCGCGAGCAGGUGCGAAAGCAGGUCAUAGUGAUCCGGUGGUUCUGAAUGGAAGGGCCAUCGCUCAACGGAUAAAAGGUACUCCGGGGAUAACAGGCUGAUACCGCCCAAGAGUUCAUAUCGACGGCGGUGUUUGGCACCUCGAUGUCGGCUCAUCACAUCCUGGGGCUGAAGUAGGUCCCAAGGGUAUGGCUGUUCGCCAUUUAAAGUGGUACGCGAGCUGGGUUUAGAACGUCGUGAGACAGUUCGGUCCCUAUCUGCCGUGGGCGCUGGAGAACUGAGGGGGGCUGCUCCUAGUACGAGAGGACCGGAGUGGACGCAUCACUGGUGUUCGGGUUGUCAUGCCAAUGGCACUGCCCGGUAGCUAAAUGCGGAAGAGAUAAGUGCUGAAAGCAUCUAAGCACGAAACUUGCCCCGAGAUGAGUUCUCCCUGACUCCUUGAGAGUCCUGAAGGAACGUU
rnacentral:rRNA from 1 species